UUUUAUAGAUGGAACAGACUCUGAUGUUUAUCGCUUUUCGUAUAAGAUUUGCAUUCCAACUGACUGCUCAGAAUGUGACCACUCUAUUUUAUUUAAUCUGCUGUCUAUUCCAACACCUUUUUUAGAGGCCGUUUGUGCUGAAGAGAAUUCCGUGUCAGAGAGACCACAAAACGCGCCAUUUGGAAAACGAUCUUAUUAAUCUGACAUCAUAAUAAGCCAUUAAUCAAGUGGCAUUAACAAAACACUGACCAAUGGCCACCUGAAACUGAGGCCAGACCCAGACACGACUCUCGGAUCAACAUUCGCCAGCAGCGAUUGCGAAUGCCACUGCGACUGCGACUGCGACUGCGUCUGGAGCACAUGAGACCAUUGCCAACAUGCUUGGAGUUGGAGCUGAAGCUGGAGCUGGAGCUGGAGGCGGAGGCGUACUCGAUCUCUGGCAGCAGCUUAAACAAAUUGAAUUCGCAUUGUUCACAUAAUCGCUGGCCAUUUGUAAACGGUGUACAGAAUGUGCUCACGUUUAUGUCACAAAAUCAAAUUAAUAAUUUGUGCGGCAUUUUUCUCUGAAUUGAGACGGCAAACAAAAUAUUCUCAACAAAGCUGAACGUCUGGCACUUGCAGCAGGCGCGAGAAAAGGCCUCGAGCACAUAAAUCGUUUUUCCGCAAAUGCUUGGAAAUGUCAACAUUUGAUUGCACCACUCGCCCCACUUGCCCCACUUGCCCCACUCCCUCUGCCCGAACACCAGCCUGCUGGCUGGUUGCGCCUCAAUGGCUGCUUGAAGUUAAUUUCACAUGUAUCCCAACAUGAUGGCGCUGCACGUAUUCCGAACUAUUUAGAGAUCCACUCGAAAUAGUUCUUGAACAGCUGCCAAUUUCUAUCCGACCUCCACCAGUUCGGCAGCCAACGCGGAUGCGUUCCCUACAUUCAUUCCCUUUUCAUUGGGCGGGUGCAAGAUUUUCUGCAAGAGCGCAUCAAAUUUGAGUUCUUAUUUGUUUUUCGGUCUGUUGAAAUUAAUUAAAAACGUUCUUGUUUGCCCAAAUUAAGCACCUCAAAUAGAAUUUUAAUUGAAUUCGUUACCUAGGCCAAGCAAAUUUCAUCUUUUGGGUGUGAUGUUCAGUUUUUAUGCUAUAUUACUCAGAUAUAUAUAAGCAUCUAAAAGAUAAUAUUUAUCUAAUUUCACUAAUUGACUGCAAAUCGUCCAAAAUAUUAACAUGAUGUGACCUCAUCUCAAGCAAAAUAAGCUAUUAAAUCAUUAGAAGCAACUAUUUUACACUAAACGAAAUAAUAAUUUAAGAGUU